rnacentral:misc_RNA from 1 species
GCGGGUUUUCCGGUGCAAGGACGAACAAGGAAAAGCUGAUGCUUUGCCACGUGUGAUCAAUAAGAACCGUCGGAUAAAGAGAAAGUCGCAGCAGAGAGAGAAGCUGGAAGCAGUGAGUGAGAGUAAUUGAUGAGAGAGAGAGGAAGAAAGCAGGUUUGUCUUAAAUGAGGCGAGUGUAGCAGAGAGUGUAGCAGAGUGUGGGUGCAGUUACCAUGGCGGCGUUGCAGAAGUCUAAUUCCGUGCCAUUAUUGCUUUAAACAACGAAAAAUAAGUGGAGAAAGCUGGCUCUCUCCCAGUCAGGGAAACCCAUCUUCCAUAGUCUCUUACCCUAAACAAAAUUCUUUCAAUUUCAAUUUGAGUUAUUUUUUUUUUCUCUAUUUGCCUCAAAAAGCUGCAAAAGAAACCCAAACAGCAAGAUCAGAUAUUCAGAGAGUCAGAAUCAGAAGAAAGAGAAGGAGAAGAAGAAGAAGAUCAGGUCACAGACUCACAGUAAACACUCACUUAAAGUCUAUCUUAAAAACACAGCCACCGAUUUUCAACUCCCAACAUAAUAACCCAGAAAUCAAAGCCCACUGAUCUUGCAGAUCUCAAUAGCUACUUCUUGGUGCUACGUUUUUGCUAUGGAUUUUUGGUCUGAAUUGGGGUUGGUUUCAGCUUGUGGGUGCAAGAAAUGGCUGGCUGGUUCUAUCUAAGUGGGAGAGAGGGAGCAUCAAAUAAACAAGAAGAAGAGAAAGAUCAACCUAACAACCUGUUUUUAUACAGAUCAAACGAGGAGAUCUACAACAAGGGAUUUGAGAUAUGGCCGCAGUAUUAUCAGCAACAGCAAAACAUGAACAGCUACUCCUCGUUUGGAGUGGGUCCUAGUCGGAGAAGUUUCUCUGAUGAAUCUUCAAGAUCAGGCUUUACGGUGAUGAGGCAAGGUGGAA